CAUGGGGAGCAAACAGGAUUUGGUACCCUGGUAGUCCAUGCUAUAAACAAUGAAUAUUAAAUAUUAGAUCUGGUUAAUCAUAAUUUUCAAAAUUAUGGGAGGAUAAAUUGAAGUCUAAUAUAUAUAGUUAACACGUUAAAUAUUUCGCCUGGGGAGUAAAACCGCAAGGUUGAAACUCAAAGGAAUUGACGGGAGCUUAUACUUACGGUGGAGCAUGUGGUUUAAUCCGAUAGUCCGCGUGGAAUCUUACCAAUUUUUGACAUUCAUUAAUUUUUAAAAAAUGAAACAGGUGUUGCAUGGCCGUUGUCAGCUUAUGUUUUGAAAUUUAAAUAUAAGUUUAACCCUUAGUUUAAUUUACUAAU
rnacentral:rRNA from 1 species